UGACAUGGCAGUUAUGAUACUUAGGUUGGUGUUUCAGUAGAUUCUAUUUGAUAUAUUGCUUUAAUCUUUAAAACUCUUUUCUUUAACUGUUACUCUCACAGGCAAUAUUCUUAUUGUUUCUCGUCAUCUAAUUCUCUCUGAAGAACCUUUCAUUCAAUAAUCUAAUUUUAUUUUUUUGACAGUUUUGUUUUAUUAUUUUAGAUUACCUUGUGAUUGAAAGAAUUUUAUUAAGAAUGGUAGCAGUUUUGUACCUUGAGUUCCCAAAAUACCACUAGAAAAUACACAAUUAGGGAUCCAAUUGGGUAUUAACCCUCUUUCUUCUGUUCUUCCCAUGCAAUAACUCGCUUGCGGGAGUCGUCAUUUUUGUUGGAGAUCACCCAUUGUUCUCCCACAGCUGAGCGGCUUUCACUUCCUGCCAUUCACUUCUUGGCCACAUAGCCAGGCAACCUUAAAUAUACUUCAAUGUGAUUGGUUCAG
rnacentral:misc_RNA from 1 species